GACAUAGGUUGCGAACGUUAUCCGGAAUUAUUGGGCGUAAAGGAUGCGUAGAUGGCGUGAUAAGUUAUCAGUGGCAAAUCGGGGCUCAACCUCGUGGAAGCUGGUAAUACUGUCAUGCUUGAGUACAGGAGAGGUUAACGGAACUCCAUGUGGAGCGGUAAAAUGUGACGAUAUAUGGAAGAACACCGAUAAGGCGAAGGCAGUUAACUAUUCUGUUACUGACAUUGAGGCAUGAAAGCGUGGGGAGCAAAACGG
rnacentral:rRNA from 1 species